GACAGAGGAUGCAAGUGUUAUCCGGAAUCACUGGGCGUAAAGCGUCUGUAGGUGGUUUAAUAAGUCAACUGUUAAAUCUUGAGGCUCAACUUCAAAAUCGCAGUCGAAACUAUUAGACUAGAGUAUAGUAGGGGUAAAGGGAAUUUCCAGUGGAGCGGUGAAAUGCGUAGAGAUUGGAAAGAACACCAAUGGCGAAAGCACUUUACUGGGCUAUCACUGACACUGAGAGACGAAAGCUAGGGUAGCAAAUGGG
rnacentral:rRNA from 1 species